GUAMUCYRAGUUUGAUCCUGGCUCAGAACGAACGCUGGCGGCGUGCCUAAMAMAUGCAAGUCGAACGAGAAAGUCCUUCGGGAUGAGUAGAGUGGCGCACGGGUGAGUAACGCGUGGAUAAUCUGCCCUGGUAUCUGGGAUAACAUCUCGAAAGGGGUGCUAAUACCGGAUAAGCCCACGGGAUCUUCGGAUCUUGCGGGAAAAGGAGGCCUCUAUUUAUAAGCUUCUGUACCAGGAUGAGUCCGCGUCCCAUUAGCUAGUUGGCGGGGUAAUGGCCCACCAAGGCGACGAUGGGUAGCUGGUCUGAGAGGAUGAUCAGCCACACUGGAACUGAGACACGGUCCAGACUCCUACGGGAGGCAGCAGUGGGGAAUUUUGCGCAAUGGGGGAAACCCUGACGCAGCAACGCCGCGUGAGUGAUGAAGGCCUUCGGGUCGUAAAGCUCUGACAGGGGGGAAGAACCGGCAGGAUGCUAAUACCAUCCCGCCCUGACGGUACCCUCAAAGGAAGCACCGGCUAACUCCGUGCCAGCAGCCGCG
rnacentral:rRNA from 1 species